rnacentral:rRNA from 1 species
ACAAGCGGUGGAGUAUGUGGUUUAAUUCGAUGCAACGCGAAGAACCUUACCUGGUCUUGACAUCCCGGAGACCUUUAGGAACUAGGGGUGCUUCCAUCUGGAAGAAUCUGGAGACAGGUGCUGCAUGGCUGUCGUCAGCUCGUGUCGUGAGAUGUUGGGUUAAGUCCCGCAACGAGCGCAACCCUUGCCUUUAGUUGCCAGCAGUUCGGCUGGGCACUCUAAAGGGACUGCCGGUGUUAAACCGGAGGAAGGUGGGGAUGACGUCAAGUCCUCAUGGCCUUUAUGACCAGGGCUACACACGUACUACAAUGGCCGAUACAAAGGGCAGCGACACUGCGAGGUGAAGCCAAUCCCGUAAAAUCGGUCUCAGUCCGGAUUGGAGUCUGCAACUCGACUCCAUGAAGUUGGAAUCGCUAGUAAUCGUGGAUCAGCAUGCCACGGUGAAUACGUUCCCGGGCCUU